CAGCAAACCAAGGGGUUGUGCUGUCUCCUUGUCUCCCAGGGAUAAACCCACAUGACAGUUUACAAAAACAGGUAAUCAUAAGAAGCAAAUGGCCCAGAUGAAACACAGCAAAAGAAUGAGAAGUGGUAACACUGGGAGUGAAAUUUGAACCAAGCGUAAAUGGAGUGAUCGUAGAAAUAGCUGACUGUGGAAUGUGGACACUCUCUGUAUCUGCAGCCUGGGAAGCUUAAAGAAGGUGAACUUACUGACACCAGUUAGAAAGUGACUGUGAUGAAACGAUGAAGAUGCUCCAGAGGAAGUGACACCAGCAAUAGGAAAAAAAAAACAAACCUCUCACUGAAGGAACUCUCGGAGAUAUUUCAUGACACAGAAGGCACAAAGGAUACAAUAUUGGCAACUAAUCGAAACUUAGAAAUGAUAUGACAGCUCACCAAGGCAUAGAAAAAGAUGCUUGCUCUAUCAUAAGUUAUAGAAUGAGAAGAAGUCAUAGAUAGCAGCUAGGACGGCAGUCCUCUGGAGGCUGUGCUGCAUGGAGACAUCCAAGAUGACUUCUCUCACAUGUCUAGCAACUUGAUGCUUCUCCACAUGGCCUGUCUCCUCAUCCUUAGGGGUAUCUCAUCCUCCAGGGUUUCUACACAUGACCACUUUCUACAGCGUGGUAGCUGGAUGCAUACAUUAUGGUCCGCUUUCAUGAGUGCAAAAAAGGAAGGUGCCAGGACUUUUAAAGGCUUAAAUCCAAAAUGCUACAGCAUCACUGUCACUGCAUUUUAUUGAUUAAAGUCCACCUGCAAUAUGGGAGGAGACUACACAGAGGAAUAAGUACCAACAAGCGUGGUUCACUGGGAUCAUUUUUGUAUAACUAUCACAUCACUUUGUUUUGGUUUCCAAAGCUGUUGUGUUUUGGGACGUUUUUUGAAAUUACUUCAAAAAGAUUUAGAGGAGAAAAAAAUGAACUCAGUUUUAAUUCACCAUCUUAAAGUGGGAAUCCAGUAUUUGUUUUGAAAAUGGCUGUAGAAAUUAUUUUUUGGUAUUUGUGUUAUUCUCUUUUUACUAUGUGCAUUGUGUAAUACAACAUAUACAAUAAUCUCAUUUUCUAAUCCUGUCAACAUCACUUAAUUGAAAAAAUAUGGUUUUCUUUGAAAAUAAAAUCUCUCAGAAUAAGAAUAUAUUCAAUUCUUUAAUUCAAUAAACAUUUAAAA
rnacentral:lncRNA from 1 species